rnacentral:rRNA from 1 species
UACGUAGGGUCCGAGCGUUGUCCGGAAUUAUUGGGCGUAAAGGGCUCGUAGGCGGUUUGUCGCGUCUGCCGUGAAAGUCCGGGGCUCAACUCCGGAUCUGCGGUGGGUACGGGCAGACUAGAGUGAUGUAGGGGAGACUGGAAUUCCUGGUGUAGCGGUGAAAUGCGCAGAUAUCAGGAGGAACACCGAUGGCGAAGGCAGGUCUCUGGGCAUUAACUGACGCUGAGGAGCGAAAGCAUGGGGGAGCGAACAGG